CGUUUUACUAGAUUUUCUACAUCCCUAAUUUUUUCUCAAGCCGUCGGGUUCUCUUCUCUCUUCUUCAAACUCCUUGUAGAUGAAAUCUGGAAAAGCUUUAUGACUCAAACUUGAGAAAUCGAGACAAGGGUCCCAUCGUUGAUUCGAGUCCUUGACUUAUGUGAUCAGCGAUUUUAAUUAUUAAAUCUUGAAUCAAAGCUCCAUGUAGAUGGAGUAGGGAUCGUUGGUUUGAGACUAAGAGAGGAGGAUGAAGUUGUUUUAUGUCUUGUUUCUAAACGGUUUGCAGUUUUUUUUUUAAAUUUCAGACACAAGCUUUAUGUGAUUUCAGAUUCUCAGUGGUUUGUUGUAUUUCACUUUCUAAGUUUCAGAUUUAUGUACUUUCAGAUUUUAAAUAUGUAUUAGAUACACUGCAGAUUUUAAAUCAGGUUUAUUACA